AGAAAUACAACAUGCAAAAUUAUUAAUGUUUGGCAAAAAAAGGUACAUAAAAUUAAAAUCUUAAUUUUUUUGAAACUUCCAGAUGAGUAUUGUUUGAUCUGGACUUCCUUUCUAUAGUCCAAGUGUUUUCUUCUCAUUCAUUACGAAACAAAAAAUUAACUCUAGUUUAGCUUUUUAUUUCUUCCUAGAUAUUAUCUUUAACUUGCUAUGGUCCCACGUCUCCUAAAGCCAUUGAAGAUGAUGCAUUUGUUUACAGCGACGCUUCAAAUAUUUUCUUAAAAACUAUUUCAGUUUUGGCAAGAUUCAGAAUCCAUAAACACAUUCUGUCAUGCAUUCUCUUACUGUUUACAUAUUUCCUUAAAAGCAGGGAUUUUCCUUCUGUUUUUGAGUUACGUUUAUGCCCUUUCUUAUUUGCUUUAUAGCUUGCUGCCACGAGACAAAAAUCUGUCCAAAGAAAAGAAUAAUUCCUAUCUCCUCCCUCAAAAUUUCUAAUAAGUCUCCUCGUAUAUUCCGGAAUCUCUUUCUUCUUGAAGGACUCAAAUGGGCCUUGAAAAUCCAUGUUGUCACAUGUUUAUCAGAGGAGAGGAAAAGGCCCUCAAGCGUUCAUAUCCUUGCAUCAGGGUUGUUAGGGGGCAGCGCCGUGGGAACCAGGCUUGCAGGCUUCCCCUGGGAGAAAGAUACCACAAGGCAAGGUCUCGGAAAAGGGGAGAAGAAUGAGUUCGUCACCGAAGCUGGAACGUGGCUUAAAGUGAGGAAUGGCGGCUCACUGCGUUGUGUAGUUGUGAGUGUGUAAUAAUAAAAGGAGCCCUACAGCAUCCGUCCCUAAGGCACUUUUUAAUUUAUUUUUUUUGUCCUGGAUGCACAAUCACCCACAGCAAGAGGCGUGCCAUUCUCACACGCGGGCCGACCUGCGCUCCUGGACGCGGUCGGGCGCGUCUCGAGGACCCGCCUGUGGCUGUGACGAUGGAGGCACCGCCACGUGCAGCCGGCCUCUGCCUCUCGACGGGGAGGGGGCGGGUGGGGGCCGGCGGGGGCGGCGCAGGGUCUCCCCUGCGAGGCCAGGCGGAGGUUCGCGGCUCCAGGUGCCCGCUCUGCUCCUCCCAGAAGCUGGACUCACGGGAAACGCAGGCCCGGCCGCCCCGCGAGCCCUCUAUUUACAGCCAGGGCUUGUGAAGGAGGCGGCGCUGAGAAGGCAGCCUUGGGAGGUCCAAGGCGUCUGAAGAUUUCAUCAGGACGUGCCCCCUGCGGCUCCUCCCCGGGGUUUGGGGUCACGAGGAUGUUGCCGCCUGGGACCCCUCCUGGUUACUGCCGUGAACCCGCCGGGCGCGGGGCCUCCUGCCACCUCGACGUCCGGGCUCCAGGCUCCCGGAUCUGGGCCCUUCUCGACAAAGCCGCAAGAGACCCGUGGCCCCUACUUAGAGAGCAGAGCUACCAAACGCCUGGUCACUCAGGCCAGUGACCUCCCACGGGCAUCCUGGGGUCCCCCCUCUUCUCCAGCCUACCUUGAAGACGCUAAAUUUGAAACAGGCUGCGAGUCUUUCCGCCCCCAUCCUGCUCUCCAGUGGGCAGCUCCGUCGUUGCUGGGGUCACUGUCCCCCUAUCCUCUGCCUACCCAGAAAUCUACUCUCAACAUCCACCCAGAGCCAGAGAGAGCUCCGGGAAAUCAAAUGAGCUCCUCUCACCUGGAGAAUGUCAACCAUGUGAGAGAAGAAACUGUCUGUUCGCUGUGGAUCCCUGCUCUGAGAACGGGGUCAGCCACAGGAUCAACACUGGGACAGUGGCCGAGGAAAACAGAAAAACGCCGCUGGGCACUCAACCCCCCUCUCGGUUUCCCCAUCUGUAAAAUGGGGCUGAUAACAGUACUGGCCUCCUCAGUUGUUGUGAGGGUGAAGUGAGAUAAUAAAGGGGCGGAGGCAAGAGCAGAUGAGGUCCCUGCCCCACGGAGCUCCCACGUUGGCAGGAGAGAGACAGGAAUGUGAAAUCGAGCGGGGCCGCACGUGGCCGGUGGUGAAGGUUGCCAAGAGGGAAGCACAGCAGGAUAGGGAGGCGGGGACAGGAGUGGUGCGGGCUCAACAGGCUGUUCAGGGAGGGACUCACUGAGACAGUGACAUGGGGCAAGGGGCCUGAAGAAAUGAGCAGGGGGCACGAGUGUUCUGCAGGGAGCGUUCAAGGCAGAGGGCACAGCCGGUACAAGGCCCGUGUGUGCGAGGAGCAGUGGGGGCCAGAGUGGCUGCAGGGAGGUGGACGAGGGAACUGUGGGGGCCGAGGUCAGAGAGGUGACAGGACGGGAUCCGUGUACGACCUUGAGGGCCAGUGAAAGGACGCUGGCAUUCCCUGUGCGUGUCAGAGCCCUUGGAUGGGUCUGAGCACAGGAGUGACGUGCUCUGAGUUCAUUUUAGGUGACCCCUCAGGCUGUGUGCGGGGCCAGACUGUGGGGCAGAGGGCAGAAGCAGCCGGACCUGCGAGGAGGCCGCCAGGGCGGGGGCAGGAAGGUGCAGGCCGGGGUCACCAGUGCCAGCUCUGGGAUUUGCACCUGAGGGUCGGCUGACGGGAUCUGCUGAUGGAUGGGGCGGAGGCGGAGAGAUGGCAGCUUUCAAAACGGGAGCCCAAUCUUUCAACAAGCCCAAGAGAAAAACUGGCAAUGUGCAGGGGGGAAAACCUAUUUGAAAGCAUCAGAGAGCGACUUAGGCUGCCAGGACCUGAGGGACCAGCAUCUCAUACCGAGGGACAUGCACUGAGGGGAGCCCUACAUCCUCCACCUCCUUCCUCUUUGAGGAUUUCCCAAUUCGUAAGUCGGGGGUGAGUGCCGACAGAAACCGAGAACCUUUCAGCAAGCUCAUGAAUCUGGGGACAAAACACUUGAAGUUGGAGGCCCCAAGGCAGCCAGGGUUUGAGGGCCCGAGAUCUCAGAGAAGAUAGGACCCCCUAGAAGAGGCUCUGAUUUGCUGCAGUGUUUUCGCUUUUGAAGCAUUUGCUGAUUCCUAAGCUGUACAGACAUGAGGCUCAGAGGACAAGCAGAAAUUGAGCAGGUGAGAGGCCGAGAAAGUGAGCAACGUCUGCACCAAUAUCAUGACGCCCUAACAGCCGAACUUGGAGUUCGGUUGUCACCCAACAGGUGGAGCCACGGAAAAUGAACGCUGGUUUCCAUUGAGUCCUCCAACAGACUUGUUCUAGGAAGUAAGGACAAACCAAAUAAACCAGAUCUCAUAAAAAUGGAAAAUCAGUCUUGAAUCAUUACAAUCAUGGUAACCUGUCCUUACUCUAGUGGCUGUCAGGGCAAAAAAGGUAAGUCUGCUUCAGGAAAA
ensembl:lncRNA